CCUUUGUACACACCGCCCGUCGCUACUACCGAUUGAAUGGCUCAGUGAGGCUUCCGGACUGGCCCAGAGAGGUCGGCAACGACCACUCAGGGCCGGAAAGCUAUCCAAACUCGGUCAUUUAGAGGAAGUAAAAGUCGUAACAAGGUCUCCGUUGGUGAACCAGCGGAGGGAUCAUUA
rnacentral:rRNA from 1 species